rnacentral:lncRNA from 1 species
AUUUUCUUUAUGCAAUGGACAAGUGUAAGAAUGUUUCAAAGUUAUAUUAUUAUACAGAUUGUUAAACUUAUAUUAUAUAAGCCCAUUGAUUAUCAACAUGCUAGUAUAUGAUAAUUCGGAUAAAUAUAUUUUGUUCGUUAAUUUCUAUAAAUGAUUAUACAAGUGUCCCCACUUGGACAAUCAUUGUUUUUCAUCUCAUGUUGAUACACCUUUGAUAUACAUAUAUGUUGAAUUAUAUAAGACCUUUGUUAUGAAAACCCGACAGGAAUGAACAUCCCGAUAAUGGGAAAAUUUUUAUGCGCUACGGCGGACAAAGGAUGAACGAUAAUAUCGUUCUAGUAAUGUAGUAUUGAUCAAUACAGGGCCCAAGGGAAGUACAACCUAAAGCCCAUAAGCAAUGCCG